UACGAAGGGGGCUAGCGUUGCUCGGAAUCACUGGGCGUAAAGCGCACGUAGGCGGACUCUUAAGUCGGGGGUGAAAUCCUGGAGCUCAACUCCAGAACUGCCUUCGAUACUGGGAGUCUUGAGUUCGGGAGAGGUGAGUGGAACUGCGAGUGUAGAGGUGAAAUUCGUAGAUAUUCGCAAGAACACCAGUGGCGAAGGCAGCCUCCUGGGCCAGCACUGACGCUCAUGCACGAAAGCGUGGGGAGCAAACAGG
rnacentral:rRNA from 1 species